GGAGAGGUGGGUGAGCGGCUGAAACCGACGGUUUGCUAAACCGUUGUAUUGGGUAUAACCUAGUACCGAGGGUUCGAAUCCCUCCCUCUCCG
rnacentral:tRNA from 1 species